rnacentral:rRNA from 1 species
GAUGAACGCUGGCGGCGUGCCUAAUACAUGCAAGUCGAGCGAACAGACGAGGAGCUUGCUCCUCUGACGUUAGCGGCGGACGGGUGAGUAACACGUGGAUAACCUACCUAUAAGACUGGGAUAACUUCGGGAAACCGGAGCUAAUACCGGAUAAUAUAUUGAACCGCAUGGUUCAAUAGUGAAAGACGGUUUUGCUGUCACUUAUAGAUGGAUCCGCGCCGCAUUAGCUAGUUGGUAAGGUAACGGCUUACCAAGGCAACGAUGCGUAGCCGACCUGGGAGGGUGAUCGGCCACACUGGAACUGAGACACGGUCCAGACUCCUACGGGAGGCAGCAGUAGGGAACCUUCCGCAAUGGGCGAAAGCCUGACGGAGCAACGCCGCGUGAGUGAUGAAGGUCUUCGGAUCGUAAAACUCUGUUAUUAGGGAAGAACAAAUGUGUAAGUAACUAUGCACGUCUUGACGGUACCUAAUCAGAAAGCCACGGCUAACUACGUG